GAUGAACGCUGGCGGCGUGCCUAAUACAUGCAAGUCGAACGAGUUCUGAUUAUUGAAAGGUGCUUGCAUCUUGAUUUAAUUUUGAACGAGUGGCGGACGGGUGAGUAACACGUGGGUAACCUGCCCUUAAGUGGGGGAUAACAUUUGGAAACAGAUGCUAAUACCGCAUAAAUCCAAAAACCGCAUGGUUCUUGGCUGAAAGAUGGCGUAAGCUAUCGCUUUUGGAUGGACCCGCGGCGUAUUAGCUAGUUGGUGAGGUAACGGCUCACCAAGGCAAUGAUACGUAGCCGAACUGAGAGGUUGAUCGGCCACAUUGGGACUGAGACACGGCCCAAACUCCUACGGGAGGCAGCAGUAGGGAAUCUUCCACAAUGGACGCAAGUCUGAUGGAGCAACGCCGCGUGAGUGAAGAAGGCUUUCGGGUCGUAAAACUCUGUUGUUGGAGAAGAAUGGUCGGCAGAGUAACUGUUGUCGGCGUGACGGUAUCCAACCAGAAAGCCACGGCUAACUACGUGCCAGCAGCCGCGGUAAUACGUAGGUGGCAAGCGUUAUCCGGAUUUAUUGGGCGUAAAGCGAGCGCAGGCGGUUUUUUAAGUCUGAUGUGAAAGCCCUCGGCUUAACCGAGGAAGUGCAUCGGAAACUGGGAAACUUGAGUGCAGAAGAGGACAGUGGAACUCCAUGUGUAGCGGUGAAAUGCGUAGAUAUAUGGAAGAACACCAGUGGCGAAGGCGGCUGUCUGGUCUGUAACUGACGCUGAGGCUCGAAAGCAUGGGUAGCGAACAGGAUUAGAUACCCUGGUAGUCCAUGCCGUAAACGAUGAAUGCUAGGUGUUGGAGGGUUUCCGCCCUUCAGUGCCGCAGCUAACGCAUUAAGCAUUCCGCCUGGGGAGUACGACCGCAAGGUUGAAACUCAAAGGAAUUGACGGGGGCCCGCACAAGCGGUGGAGCAUGUGGUUUAAUUCGAAGCAACGCGAAGAACCUUACCAGGUCUUGACAUCUUUUGAUCACCUGAGAGAUCGGGUUUCCCCUUCGGGGGCAAAAUGACAGGUGGUGCAUGGUUGUCGUCAGCUCGUGUCGUGAGAUGUUGGGUUAAGUCCCGCAACGAGCGCAACCCUUAUGACUAGUUGCCAGCAUUUAGUUGGGCACUCUAGUAAGACUGCCGGUGACAAACCGGAGGAAGGUGGGGAUGACGUCAAAUCAUCAUGCCCCUUAUGACCUGGGCUACACACGUGCUACAAUGGAUGGUACAACGAGUUGCAAGACCGCGAGGUCAAGCUAAUCUCUUAAAGCCAUUCUCAGUUCGGACUGUAGGCUGCAACUCGCCUACACGAAGUCGGAAUCGCUAGUAAUCGCGGAUCAGCACGCCGCGGUGAAUACGUUCCCGGGCCUUGUACACACCGCCCGUCACACCAUGAGAGUUUGUAACACCCGAAGCCGGUGGCGUAACCCUUUUAGGGAGCGAGCCGUCUAAGGUGGGACAAAUGAUUAGGGUG
rnacentral:rRNA from 2 species